GAUCAUGGCUCAGGACGAACGCUGGCGGCGUGCUUAACACAUGCAAGUCGAACGGAGUGUAGCAAUACACUUAGUGGCGGACGGGUGAGUAACACGUGAGCAACCUGCCCUGUACAACGGGAUAACACAGAGAAAUUUGUGCUAAUACGGUAUAAGACCACACUGCGGCAUCGCAGAGGGGUAAAAAGCUGAGGCGGUACAGGAGGGGCUCGCGGCCCAUUAGAUAGUUGGUGAGGUAACCGG
rnacentral:rRNA from 1 species